rnacentral:rRNA from 1 species
AGUGAACGCUGGCGGUAGGCCUAACACAUGCAAGUCGAACGGCAGCACAGUAAGAGCUUGCUCUUACGGGUGGCGAGUGGCGGACGGGUGAGGAAUACAUCGGAAUCUACUUUUUCGUGGGGGAUAACGUAGGUAAACUUACGCUAAUACCGCAUACGACCUACGGGUGAAAGCAGGGGAUCUUCGGACCUUGCGCGAUUGAAUGAGCCGAUGUCGGAUUAGCUAGUGGGCGGGGUAAUGGCCCACCAAGGCGACGAUCCGUAGCUGGUCUGAGUGGAUGAUCAGCCACACUGGACCUGGGACACGCACAAGACUCCUACGGGAGGCAGCAGAGGGGAAUAUUGGACAAUGGGCGCAAGCCUGAUCCAGCCAGACCGCGUGGGUGAAGAAGACCUUGGGGUUGUAAAGCCCUUUUGUUGGGAAAGAACAGCAGCAGGUUAAUACCCCGCUGUUCUGACGGUACCCAAAGAAUAAGCACCGGCUAACUACGUG